rnacentral:rRNA from 1 species
AUUGAACGCUGGCGGCAGGCCUAACACAUGCAAGUCGAGCGGAGCGGCGGACGGGUGAGUAAGGCCGAGGAAUCUGCCCGGUAGUGGGGGAUAAAGUCCGGAAACGGGCGCUAAUACCGCAUACUAUCAGAUGAGCCUAGGUGGGAUUAGCUAGUUGGUGGGGUAAAGGCCCACAAAGGCGACGAUCCGUAGCUGGUCUGAGGGGAUGAUCAGUCACACUGGAACUGAGACACGGUCCAGACUCCUACGGUAGGCAGCAGUGGGGAAUAUUGGACAAUGGGCGAAAGGCUGAUCCAGCCAUGCCGAGUGUGUGAAGAAGGUCUUCGGAUUGUAAAGCACUUUAAGUUGGGAGGCGGUACCAACAGAAUAAGCACCGGCUAACUUCGUGCCAGCCGCCGCGGUAAUUC